rnacentral:rRNA from 1 species
CCCACCUGACUCCAUUCCGAACUCAGAAGUGAAACGAAAUAGCGCCGAUGGUAGUGUGGGGUUUCCCCAUGUGAGAGUAGGACAUCGCCAGGC